AACGCACAUUGCGCCCGCCAGUAUUCUGGCGGGCAUGCCUGUUCGAGCGUCAUUUCAACCCUCAAGCCCCCGGGCUUGGUGUUGGGGAUCGGCGUGCCCUCGCGGCGCGCCGUCCCCUAAAUCUAGUGGCGGUCUCGCUGUAGCUUCCUCUGCGUAGUAGCAACACUCGCACUGGAUCGCAGCGCGGCCACGCCGUUAAACCCCCCACUUCUGAAAGUUUGACCUCGGAUCAGGUAGGAAUACCCGCUGAACUUAA
rnacentral:misc_RNA from 1 species